CGGAAAGUAGCACAGCUUGGUAGUGCACUGUCUUCGGGAGGCAGGGGUCGUGGGUUCAAAUCCCAUCUUUCCGACCA
rnacentral:tRNA from 1 species